rnacentral:rRNA from 1 species
CAGCCGCCGCGGGAAUACGUAGGUGGCAAGCGUUGUCCGGAAUUAUUGGGCGUAAAGCGCGCGCAGGUGGUUUAAUAAGUCUGAUGUAAAAGCCCACGGCUCAACCGUGGAGGGUCAUUGGAAACUGUUAAACUUGAAUGCAGGAGAGAAGAGUGGAAUUCCUAGUGUAGCGGUGAAAUGCGUUGAGAUCGGAAAGAACACCAACGGCGAUAGCACUCUGCUGGGCCGACACUGACACUGAGAGACGAAAGCUAGGGGAGCAAAUGGGAUUAGAUACCCCCGUAGUCCCUGUCUCUUAUAC